rnacentral:miRNA from 1 species
UAUUGAGUGCAGCGUUGACGG